rnacentral:rRNA from 1 species
GUGAAAUUGUUGAAAGGGAAACGUUUGACACCAGUUAUGCGGGUGGAAAAUCAGUCUUUUGCAAUGGGGAGUUGUGGGCGUUCAGACCGCAAGGCUGGCGUUUGCUUCAUCUUUGUUGUAAGUGAUGCACUUUUUCAUUUGCAGGUCAACAUCAGUUUGCUUUGCUGGACAAAACCCCAAGGGAAGGUGACAGCUUAGGCUGUGUUAUAGCCCUGGGGCGAUACAGUGGAGUGGACUGAGGUUUCGCAGUGUGUGCUCUCGGGCAAGGCUGACUGGGUGCUAUGGGAUCGUUCGGCGUACAAUGCAUGCAUUUUGCGUCGUGUCUUUUUCAUACUCGCUCAACUCGGCUCUUCCACACUUAGGAUGUUGACUUAAUGGUUUUAAACGACCCGUCUUGAGACACGGACCAAGGAGUCUAACAUAUAUGCAAGUGUUUGGGUGGCAAACCCAUGCGCGUAAUGAAAGUGAACGUAGGUGCGAUCCGCAAGGUGCAGCAUCGACCGAUCUUGAUAUUUUUGGAUAGAUUUGAGUAAGAGCAUAUAUGCUGGGACCCGAAAGAUGGUGAACUAUGCCUGAAUAGGGUGAAGCCAGAGGAAACUCUGGUGGAGGCUCGUAGCGAUUCUGACGUGCAAAUCGAUCGUCAAAUUUGGGUAUAGGGGCGAAAGACUAAUCGAAACAUCUAGUAGCUGGUUCCUGCC